GACGAACGCUGGCGGCGUGCUUAACACAUGCAAGUCGAACGGAAAGGCCCUGCUUUUGUGGGGUGCUCGAGUGGCGAACGGGUGAGUAACACGUGAGUAACCUGCCCUUGACUUUGGGAUAACUUCAGGAAACUGGGGCUCUUACCGCAUAUGAGCUCCUGCUGCAUGGUGGGGGUUGGUAAGUUUCGGCGGUGGGGGCUGUACUCGCGGGUUAUCAGCUUGUUGGUGGGGUAGUUGCUUACCAAGCCUUUGACGGGUAGCCGGCCUGAGAGGGUGACCGGCCACAAGGGGACUGAGAUACGGCCCAGACUCCUACGGGAGGCAGAAGUGGGGAAUAUUGCACAAUGGGCGGAAGCCUGAUGCAGCAACGCCGCGUGCGGGAUGACGGCCUUCGGGUUGUAAACCGCUUUCGCCUGUGACGAAGCGUGAGUGACGGUAGUGGGUAAAGAAGCACCGGCUAACUACGUG
rnacentral:rRNA from 1 species